AGUUAUUAAUUUUUAAUUUUUUUUUCAAGUUACACUUUAACUUUAUUCUUAAGUAUGAAAUUUUAAUAUGAGCGUCAAUCAAAGUUGCUACAGACUUUUGUUCGCUUGUAUGAUUUUAUUAUCAAGCGUUAGUUUGUUCAUCACCAGACUACCAUGUAAAUCAUAUGCAAGUUUCAACUUUACAACAAAUAAAUACUAUCUUGGAGACAUCGAUUCAACAUACCAUGUAAAUAGUAGCAACCACUGUGCUAUCUAUUGCGUUAGAAAUCCAACUUGUACUUUUGCUAAUUUUAAUGAAAAUCAAAAAAUUUGCGAGUUGAUGUCAUCGAAACCGAAUUCUUCAAACAGUAUAGUCGACCAACAGUGGCAAGUACUCAUGUCCGAAACUGAAAACAACACAAAUAUUGGUUCGAUUUGUGAAAAUAACAAUCCUUGUAAUAAUUUAUAUUGCAGAGAUAUAUGUCUAUCAGGUGAUCCGUUUGUCCACAGCUAUAUUUGCUCUGAAACGUAUGAUGUAUCAAGAAAUGCUAUUCCUUCAUUGUCAACAACGUAUCCCGGAUGCGAUGCAAUAUACUCCAUUGAUGGAAAUCCACUUACUGAAGCAACAUCUCAUCAAUACUAUCCGAAGUGGUUUAAACUUGACUUAAAAUAUAUAUUUCAGAUAUAUCAAAUAGUUAUUUAUAACGGUCAAUUUUAUUGGAGAACAAACGGUAACAGAUUGAUUGUGAGCAUAACCGACUUAGAAACAGAUUAUAAGCAGAUUGCAACAUUAAACAACGAUAUGAAACAAACUUUUGACGGUCCAUAUGUUGCUAGAUACAUUCUUAUCUUUAAAGAUAUAAGUGAUUUACUUACUUUAGGAGAAAUUAAUGUAUACGCCUGAUUUAUUAUUUUAAACACUACUUUUUUUACUUUUGA
rnacentral:lncRNA from 1 species